AUUUAAAUAGUUUAAAUUAAAAUUUUAGUUUGUGAUACUAAGGAUAUAAGUAAUUAUUUUAAAUU
rnacentral:tRNA from 1 species